GCCGUGCUACGAAUUUUAAAUCUAAUCGACACGAAACCGAUUCUGUUCAAUUGCAAAUUUAUUAUGUCGUACGUUUGUAGAACAGGAACGGCAAAAUGCGUAUUAAAUACGUAACGUCCUUUCGAUAGGUAAUACGCGUCCGAAUGAUAUUUAUAAUAGCGGUCCACUACGAUUUUCAAUAGGCGUUUAUUUUUUUUUUUUUU